UGAAAAAGCCCAUAAUAAAAUAGAACGAAAACCGGUUUGAAAAACACGAAAAACCAGACUGAAAGUUCACAAAGCCCAUGCAUUCAGUUUCAUGCAAAGCACAUAAACUCUGUAUUAUAGGCCAUUGUAUUUAUUUUUACUCGGUAUAAUGAGAAAUAGGAGCACAAUUGUAGUCAUGUUAUUUUUGUUACUCAUUGUAUUUCGGAAUUUUGACCCAAAUCUGCCAUGAUCUGCCCAUGAACUUUGAAUGAUGUCCAUCAUUUUGAUCAUUAUUAAUUUUGUUGUCGCAAGUGCAGAUUCUUCUGAUUAUGGCACUCUUAAUAAUUGAAGGGGAGAGUUGGUGUUCAUGAAACCAGAUUGCUUUGCUUGCUACAGAGUACGAGCCACCAAGUUCGUUGGCUUGGUGGCGAGGGCCUCAAUGUGGCGACGGCGGCAGCCUACACUUGCAUACAUGGGUCAGCAGAGGAGAUCUGCAGGUGGCCACGGCGCCCCGCGCUCACGUCCGUGGGGCAGUAGAGGUGGAGUGGACAGUCGCGCCGGAGAGCCUCCCUCGCAUCCACGGGGCAGCAGAGUAGAGCGGCAAGCGGUGACGGCGGCUUGAGCUCGCGUCCUUGGGGCUGUAGAGGAGGAGCGGACGGCGGCGUGACAUGGAGUAGCGCUCGCGCCCAUGGGCAACAGCCAUCAGAGGAGGAGCGGCGGGCGGGUGACGAGGAUCUGCGCUGGCUUCCGUGCGGCAGCAAAGGAGGAUAGACAACUUGUGAGGGCAGAGAGAAAAUUACGGGAUUGAAAUCCCCUAUCCCCGGUAAUUGAGGACGAGCAGGUGCGCUGGGCAGUCUGCUCCGGCAGAACAUUUAAUCUGGAUCGUUCAUUUGUGUGGCAGACUCUUGAUGUAAUAUGGACUGUUAGAUGUGAUUUAGUUGGAUUGAUCGAACGCAUUAGGGAAUCCUGUGUACACUUUGUGGUGUGUCUAUAGGGGAAUUCAUGUUUGCUCUU